rnacentral:miRNA from 1 species
ACUCCAGUUUUAGUUCUCUUG